UACGUAGGGGCGAGAGCGUUGUCCGGAGUUACUGGGCGUAAAGGGGCAUGCAGGCGGUCAGACGCGUUUUGUGUGACAGCGGAGGGCUUCGACUCUCCGAGCAUACGAAAGACGGUGUGACUUGAGGGCUCGAGAGGGACACGGAAUUCCGGGUGGAGUGGUGAAAUGCGUAGAGAUCGGAGGAACACCGAAGGCGAAGGCAGUGUCCUGGCGAGU
rnacentral:rRNA from 1 species